UGGUGUUGGACAGUAUGUUUAAUUUAAAGCUCCACAUGUACCAUUGGCUAUGAUUACAGUACUGCUAGACUAUUUUUCUGUGAUUAUUUCACUUUUGGAUGCUGUGCUAAAUUAGAGUAGUAUUCACGGAGUUACUAAAGCUCUGUAGACCUAUUUUUAAAAAGUACAUUUUGUCUAUAAAAUGUAUUUGUUUUGAAGGUACUACUUAUAGGGCUGAUGGGGUGGUUAGAGAGGUCAGUGAAUUCAGUGUUGUGUCUUGUACCUUAAGUGUUCAGGCUCUGCCAUGUACUAGAUGUAUAACCUUUGACUCUAAUUUUCUUUUUAUGAGCAAAUAAUAAUACCAAGUAGGUGUGAACAUUGAAAAGACAUUCUGUAUAAUUUCUAUUUUGUUUUCAGUUAACACUUUUCAUCAAAUCAUAAAUUUUUAAGAAAGGAAUAUAAAGGGUGACUUUAUUAGUACACAGACUGAAUUGAUGAUUCAUUUUUCUGUUUUAUUUUUAGAAAUAUUUAUACAUCUUUCUCCCUAUAUGCUGUACAAUGUCUUGGGACGAGUUUUACAACGUGGCACAUAUAUAUGAUAAGAAGACAUAGCUGGAGAGAUGGCUCAGCAGUUAAAAACACAUACUAGUCUUACAAAGGACCUAAAUUCAGUUUCUGGCACCCACAUCAUGUGGCUUAAAACUGCCUAUGGCUCCAGAUUAGACACACUCUUCUAGUCUCCCAGGCGCUAUACUCACAUGCAUACUCACAGUUAAAAAUAACAAUCUUAAAAAAAAAAUAGUAGGCUUAAUUAGAGCAGUCGGUAAGCAAAGAAUACUGACGUGAAAAAGAUCUCCUAAUCUUCCCUUCAUCCUAUAAUAAAUUACACCGAAGUGAUUGUUACUGGCCUACCAGAUUGCCUGGUGGCAUGUUCUAAUCGAGCCACUACUGCCUCUGUCAUUUUAUUCUGAGGGUGACUUGAAAGAAUUCUCAUUAGUGAGUGAAACUUAGCUGUUUAAAGCUAUCUGGAUUUAGAAUCCACGUGUUUCUAAAAGAUUUUUUGGGAAAACCAACUAUCCAUUGUCAAAGGACUGUGGAUAGUUGCAGUCCUCUGUUGAGAGGAAAUCACCUCUGCUCACGUGGGAAGGGAAAUUCCUAUACAUUUCCUAAUGGAGGAAGGGAAGGAUGCCCUUCAGCCUCCAUUCUGAGCAGUCUAGAGGGGAUGUUUCAGGAAUUGUUUUAGGAAAAAUUUGCCUCCUACUGUUAGACAAAAUAUGUUAAGGUUUCUGUUUUCAGUGUGACUUGUUCCUCGUGUGUGUGUGUGUGUGUGUGUGUGUGUGUGUGUGCGCCCGUUUGCAUAUAUUUGUGUGAACAUGAGUAUGUGUGUAUGUAAACAAGAAAAUGUUUUUAUAAAUGGUUUAAGUUAGAAUUGGUCAGAUUUCUAAAUUCUCUCCAGUCAUGUUUUCAUGGUUGACAUGCCUACUUUUCAGAAAUUAGAAAUGUAAAGCUCACUUAGAUUUUGCAUUCUCCUGGCAUUCAGAUUUGGUAAUGUCCACUUCCCUUAUUUAUAUACUCUAUUGCUACCUCAGUCACUUGAAGCUGUCAUAUGAUGUUCUACCAGGUUGAUGUUUAGAGUCACAGUAUGGUCGAGAGAGGAUUUAGGCCCCAGGGAGUGGGGAGGCCUGGCAGGGGUGGGGUGGGGUGGGGUGGCAAGGACAUCCUCUUGGAGAUGGGGAGGGUGGACCAGGAGGGGUAAUGACUGCAUUGU
rnacentral:lncRNA from 1 species